UACGUAGGGGGCAAGCGUUGUCCGGAUUUAUUGGGCGUAACGAGCGUGUCGUCGUCCAGACAGGUCUGCUGUGAAAACUCGAGGCUCAACCUCGAGACGCCGGUGGAAACCGUCUGGCUAGAGUCCGGAAGAGGAGAGUGGAAUUCCUGGUGUAGCGGUGAAAUGCGCAGAUAUCAGGAGGAACACCGGUGGCGAAGGCGGGUCUCUGGGCAGUAACUGACGCUGAGGAGCGAAAGCGUGGGGAGCGAACAGG
rnacentral:rRNA from 1 species